rnacentral:tRNA from 1 species
GCCAGGCUAACUCAAUCGGUAGAGCACGAGACUCUUAAUCUCAGGGUCGUGGGUUCUAGCCCCAUGCUGGGGG